CUUAAUUAGAGACUAGAAUGAAAGGUUAAACAUUUAAAUUUCUUUAACAAAAUCUCAUUUUAAAUUUAUUUUAAAUGUAAAAAAACAUUUAUUAUCUAGAAAGACGAUAAGACCCUAUUGAACUUUACUGUAGUUUAACUGGGGCAGUUAAUUAAUUAUAAUUUUAAUUUAUUAUUAUCAAAAAAUGACCCAAUAUAAUUGAUUUCAUGAUCAAGCUACCAUAGGGAUAACAGAGUAAUAUUUUUCUUUAGCUCUUAUAUAAAAAAAUGAUUACGACCUCGAUGUUGAAUUAAUUUCUCUAAAAAACGCAUCCAUUUUUCAAGAAAGUCUGUUCGACUUUUAAAUAAUUACAUGAUUUGAGUUCAGACCGGUAUAAACCAGGUCGGAUUCUAUCUUCUCACUCAUCUUCCUAGUACGAAAGGACCUGAAGAUAUUUUAUCAUCUUGGCAGAUAAAUGCAUUAGAAUUAGAAUCUAAUAAACUAAUAAUUUUAUUUUCAAUCAAUUUUAUUAUUACAACAAUUUGU
rnacentral:rRNA from 1 species